ensembl:lncRNA
GUUGCACUCAUGAUGUUGUGUGACUUCUCAGCUUGCUGGUUCCCUUGUUCCUAUUGCAAUGAUCUCAUUAUUGGCAUUUUGUUUUCAAAGUGUUAUCUGUCCCAUUUUGCAUUAUGCGUCUGUGUGGCUCGGCCUUAAGGCACUGUCUACCACUUUUCUUUCAACCACACAUCUUCUUAAAGAAUAUUCUGAAGAUGAAACAUCUUCCAUUAGCUUUGUUUUGUUUUAAUUUUUGCGGAAUGGGGGGAAGGAGAAUUCAUGCUCUCAUAAUUAUCUUCUUUAGUUUGAAUGACAGAACUGGACUUCGGGCAUCAGUUUGCAGUGAGAUCCAGACAAAUUGGGUCCAUUCUCUAGACUUGGUUUAAAAAAAAAAUUGAACAGCGUGAAGGAAAUGAGCCACAGGAGCCAUUCUCUUCCUCUUCCCUGGACCCUAGUGCACCUUUUCUUUUGUGCUGUCACUUGGCCCCACUUCUCACAUGACACAGCCUCUUUCCCUGCCCCAGGGGCCCUUUCUGGUUCUGCAGUUCUUUGGGAGUCUGUUGCUUUGUUUGUACCACUCGUUGGACAAGAAACACCAAUCAAAGUCCAGACUCUAAGUUCAUUUUGGCUCUAAUCCAUGCUCUUUUGGCUGUCCCACCCCUCUCUCUCUGUGCAUCACCCUGUUUAUCUCCAUGACCAGAUCCCUAACUCCCCAACAGAAAAUCACAUAUUUUAUAUCUAUCAUUACCCAGCUUCCUCAACCACCCCAUGCACUCAUAAUGAGGUCUUCAAAUAGUUGUUGCUCAUGGGAUUGGUUAAGAAAAAGAUUGGAGAGAAACGGAAUAGAUCUUCAUCUCCACACUGUUUCCUUCAAUCUUAUCAAUUUGUAAUUAUGUGUUUAUUUAUCUUUUUACUUAUUGACUGCUCCCCCUUCCCUCGAACUGUAAGCCUCAUAAAGGCUGGGAAAUGUGUCUGCUUUGUUGACCAAGUUAUGCCCAAUGCUGGCCAAAAUAAACAUGUUUAAUGAAUCUCUGUGGAAUAUAGGAGUGAAUAUAGAGGAGAAGGAGCUUAUUCAGGGUGGAUUUUCGCUCACCCUAAAGAAGUGAAAUGAAAGCAAACUUUGGUGGUUUUUGUUUAACUGUGAGCAAAUUGGUAUGGACUGAGAAAUUCAAUUAACUGUAUUCAUCAAUUUUUGUCUCUGGGGUACAGUCAUGAGAGUAAGACCCAGAAUUCUUGGUCCCACCCCUUUUGUGGCAUUAAAAAAAAAGCCUUGGCAUAUUACACCAACCAGAUUUUUUUCUUUGUCUCAAAGAAGGCUCAGCUGAAUGUUACAUUCCUCCCCCUCAUACAACAAUCAAAAACUCAGAAAACCUCAGCUGCCUCAGAUGAUGUCACAAAACCCUUAAGAAUGCUCACUGCUGAGUUGGGCACAGGUCCAGCAAACACAAUUCUUUCUGCCAGUUAUUCAGGGUCUUUGACAGAUUAGGUGGUCUUUUUUCUUCUUCUUCUUCUUUUUUUCAUCCUCUUAAAAGGCAGUUCAGUUUACCUCUAAGCAAGACAUUAGCUCUGGCUGCCCCAAAUAACAUUUUAAUUGAAGUCUCAGUCCAAACAAAUGCCUGGCCUCUUUAUUAACCCCAACAGUGUAAUUUUUCAACCUAAGACUGAUUCAGGGGGAAACUGUCUCACUUAAACUGCCAUGCAACGGAACAUGGCAGUUUUCCUCAAUCAGUCUCUUUUCUGACCUUAAUUUGAACCUUAAUCUCUUUUAACCAUGUUCUCUUUAUUAGCUGCUCAUAGCCGUGGCACAAUGCUAAUUUUCCUGUUUUUAGACUAUCAGUUUACAGAGGUAUUUCACUCCCCCUCAUGCCCCCAACUGUAACCAAGAUUUCAUGGACCUUCUUGGGAAAGGAAAGGACAGAAGAGCUCCUUGGCACUGGAACCCUCCUGGUCUGGUGAGGGAGGAAUGAGGAUACACAGGCGCCAUCCAAAACUUCCUAUGUUCAGAUUGAGGAAAGAGGUGGGCCAGGCCUUUGGAUUCUCAUUACCUAAGGACGGUUCUGACUGUGAGAGCAAAUCACAGAAGGAGAUGACCUUCUACUGGCCUUGCUUGAUUUGAAGACUACAAGAAGUUGCAAUUCUGCCGAGCAAAACUUUCUCAGAACUUUAUUGAAUCCAUUUAAUGAAUAUUCAUUGGGCGCCUACUAUGUGGCAAGCCACUGUUCUAGGUACUUGCCAUGUGUGUGUUGUAGUGCUAAGUAUGGAGGAGUAGAAAAAGGGAACAUUUGAGAGAAAGACGGGGAUGAUUGCCUUGGAAAAGCACCAAAUACAGCAUACAUCAUCAAAAUCAUACAAAAGAUGUACAUUUCUUUAUUUUCCUCUUUUCCUCUUUGUACAAAGGGUUUGUGAUUAGCAGAAUCUG